UGAUUUAUUAGUGUUUCUUCUAAUAACUCAAGCUUAGUUCCUUUUUAUAGUAUCAAUUGUUAUUUUUUUUUUCUAUCCUUUUCAAAGUAGGAUGCUAGAAACGUAAAUAUCUUGUCGAGAGGAUAAUUAGCUACAUCGAUUGCGAACAACAACUUUGAUAAAGAAGAAGAACCGGGCACAAUCGUUGCAUUGGUAUUAGCGCUUCUCUCUCUCUUGCGGGCAAAUUUUAGAUCUAAGUUUUUUUCUUUUCCCUUUCUCUUUUUCCGAUCAGAUCUUCAUCUCUGGCCAUGGUCAAUCAAUUAAGAUUCAUGAGUGAGCUGAUCCUCUUCUCUGUCAGCGGUGGUGUGGUAUCCUCAUCGAUGUUGUGGUGGCUGUGGUGGUGCGGUUGGAGUUCUUUGUAGUCGUGGUUUCCGUUUUGAAGACGGCGGGGAUGCUUCAGAGUUCUUCUUGGCUCGGCCGUUUCUUCUAUGGGCUGCGACAACGGCGGAAGUUGGUGAGAUUUAGGAGGGUUUCGCGUUUUGACGUGGGAGUUAACGGUAGAUCUGUAUGAUCUUAGAUGGCUGAUGCGGGGUCUUGGAUUCAGAGGGUUGAUUGAGCCACCGUCUUCUGUAUCUGCCGUGUUUAGCAUCUCUCCGUCCAGAUCGAGGAGGAGUCUGCUCGGAUCUCGGUGAACUUUGGUGAAGGAAGGAGAAGGUUAGUUCUGAGAGUGGUUAAUUGCUAGGUCGGGAUUUGCCACCGCGGAACCGUGUUGUCGAGGUGACUAGCUUUCCGGGAGACUUGUGGUGGGUUUGGUGCAACGAAGGAAAGGGGACAUCGGCGGAAACCGGUCUCUUUUGUCUUGGUCUUUGAUACUUCGUCGUGGCCACAAAGCCGUGAUUCUUGAGCCCGCCGGAUUUCAGGCUCCGGUCACUUUGCCUCCGGCGAUCAGCAGGUUCAGAGUUCUCCGUUUUUCACCGAAACUUUUGUCGUUUUCUUUUGCUUAUUGGAUCUCAAUUGUGUAAGGCCUGGCGCAGCCCAUUUGGGAUUUUUUGAUUUUAUUAUAGAAAAAAAAAAGAAAAAAAAAAAAGAAAGAAAAAAAAGAGGAUAAUUAGCUCUGUAGCCAUGCAAGUGAAGAAAUUAAGUCAACUAUAAAGUGAAGCUGUCAAUAU
rnacentral:lncRNA from 1 species